rnacentral:rRNA from 1 species
UGCGUAGGUGGUAUCGUAUGUCGGAUGUGAAAGUCCGUGGCUCAACUGCGGAAGUGCAUCUGAAACUGCGAAACUUGAGUGCAGGAUGGGAGAGCGGAAUUCUUGGUGUAGCGGUGAAAUGCGUUGAUAUCAAGAAGAACACCGGUGGCGAAGGCGGCUCUCUGGAAUGCUACUGACACUGAGGCACGAAAGCUGGGGGAGCAAACAGGAUUAGAUACCCUGGUAGUCC